rnacentral:rRNA from 1 species
CCCGUACACGAAAGUGCACAGAUUGUGAGUUCGAAGAGUAGGGCGGGACACGUGGUAUCCUGUCUGAAUAUGGGGGGACCAUCCUCCAAGGCUAAAUACUCCUGACUGACCGAUAGUGAACCAGUACCGUGAGGGAAAGGCGAAAAGAACCCCGGCGAGGGGAGUGAAACAGAACCUGAAACCGUGUACGUACAAGCAGUGGGAGCCUCUUUAAUGGGGUGACUGCGUACCUUUUGUAUAAUGGGUCAGCGACUUAUAUUCUGUAGCAAGGUUAACCGUAUAGGGGAGCCGCAGGGAAACCGAGUCUUAACUGGGCGUUAAGUUGCAGGGUAUAGACCCGAAACCCGGUGAUCUAGCCAUGGGCAGGUUGAAGGUUGGGUAACACUAACUGGAGGACCGAACCGACUAAUGUUGAAAAAUUAGCGGAUGACUUGUGGCUGGGGGUGAAAGGCCAAUCAAACCGGGAGAUAGCUGGUUCUCCCCGAAAGCUAUUUAGGUAGCGCCUCGUGAACUCAUCUCCGGGGGUAGAGCACUGUUUCGGCUAGGGGGCCAUCCCGGCUUACCAACCCGAUGCAAACUGCGAAUACCGGAGAAUGUUAUCACGGGAGACACACGGCGGGUGCUAACGUCCGUCGUGAAGAGGGAAACAACCCAGACCGCCAGCUAAGGUCCCAAAGUCAUGGUUAAGUGGGAAACGAUGUGGGAAGGCACAGACAGCCAGGAUGUUGGCUUAGAAGCAGCCAUCAUUUAAAGAAAGCGUAAUAGCUCACUGGUCGAGUCGGCCUGCGCGGAAGAUGUAACGGGGCUAAACCAUGCACCGAAGCUGCGGCAGCGACACUAUGUGUUGUUGGGUAGGGGAGCGUUCUGUAAGCCGUUGAAGGUGUGCUGUGAGGCAUGCUGGAGGUAUCAGAAGUGCGAAUGCUGACAUAAGUAACGAUAAAGCGGGUGAAAAGCCCGCUCGCCGGAAGACCAAGGGUUCCUGUUCAACGUUAAUCGGAGCAGGGUGAGUCGACCCCUAAGGCGAGGCUGAAAAGCGUAGUCGAUGGGAAGCAGGUUAAUAUUCCUGCACUUGGUGUUACUGCGAAGGGGGGACGGAGAAGGCUAGGUUAUCCGGGCGACGGUUGUCCCGGUUUAAGCGUGUAGGC